rnacentral:rRNA from 1 species
GUGCCAGCAGUCGCGGUAACACGUAGAAGACUAGUGUUAUUCAUCUUUAUUAGGUUUAAAGGGUACCUAGACGGAAAAUCAAGCCAUAAUAGGAACUAAUUUUCUAGAGUUUUAUGAAAGAAGGUGCGAAUUUCCGGAGGAAAGUUGAUAUUUUAUGAUACUGGAAGGACGGGUAACGGCGAAGGCAACCUUCUAUGUAAAAACUGACGUUGAGGGACGAAGCCUUGGGUAACGAAAAGGAUUAGAUACCCUAGUAGUCCUUGGAGAAAAUUAUGAAUGUCAUAGGUUAGAGGGAAAGUGAGUUAAUAGCAGCUUAGUUGUUGUGGUUAUGUAACCGUGCGUACAUUUCAACGGUUCAGAAUACAGAUAACUGAACCUUCAGCAACAAUUAAGACUUGUAUAGCUAUGCUAAACUGUAUUAGAAUUUGGUCUACACAAAUUGCUACUAAUCCGCCUAGGAUCAUAAACUGUAUUAGAAUUUAGUCUACACAAGACGCUACUAAUCAAUCUAUGAUCCUAUAUUGUAUUAAUAUAUACAAAUGGUAAUCCAUGUAUCCAUGGACAACAAGUAUAGUUGU